AACGAACGCUGGCGGCAUGCCUAACACAUGCAAGUCGAACGAGACCUUCGGGUCUAGUGGCGCACGGGUGCGUAACGCGUGGGAACUUGCCCUUAGGUUCGGAAUAACUCCCCGAAAGGGGUGCUAAUACCGGAUAAUGUCUUCGGACCAAAGAUUUCUCGCUUUUGGAUGGGCCCGCGUUGGAUUAGCUAGUUGGUAGGGUAAAAGCCUACCAAGGCGACGAUCCAUAGCUGGUCUGAGAGGAUGAUCAGCCACACUGGGACUGAGACACGGCCCAGACUCCUACGGGAGGCAGCAGUGGGGAAUAUUGGACAAUGGGCGAAAGCCUGAUCCAGCAAUGCCGCGUGAGUGAUGAAGGCCUUAGUGUUGUAAAGCUCUUUUACCCGGGAUGAUAAUGACAGUACCGGGAGAAUAAGCUCCGGCUAACUCCGUG
rnacentral:rRNA from 1 species